rnacentral:rRNA from 1 species
AGCGGCGGACGGGUGAGUAACGCGUGGGUAACCUGCCUCAUACAGGGGGAUAACAGUUAGAAAUGACUGCUGAUACCGCAUAAGACCACGGUACCGCAUGGUACAGUGGUAAAAACUCCGGUGGUAUGAGAUGGACCCGCGUCUGAUUAGGUAGUUGGUGGGGUAACGGCCUACCAAGCCGACGAUCAGUAGCCGACCUGAGAGGGUGACCGGCCACAUUGGGACUGAGACACGGCCCAG